UACGUAGGGGGCAAGCGUUGUCCGGAAUCAUUGGGCGUAAAGAGCGUGUAGGCGGCCCGGUAAGUCCGCUGUGAAAGUCCAGGGCUCAACCCUGGGAUGCCGGUGGAUACUGUCGGGCUCGAGUCCGGAAGAGGAGUGUGGAAUUCCUGGUGUAGCGGUGAAAUGCGCAGAUAUCAGGAGGAACACCAAUGGCGAAGGCAGCACUCUGGGACGUGACUGACGCUGAGACGCGAAAGCUAGGGGAGCGAACGGG
rnacentral:rRNA from 1 species